GACGAACGCUGGCGGCGUGCUUAACACAUGCAAGUCGAACGGAAAGGCCCUGCUUGCAGGGUACUCGAGUGGCGAACGGGUGAGUAACACGUGGGUGAUCUGCCCUGCACUUCGGGAUAAGCCUGGGAAACUGGGUCUAAUACCGGAUAGGAGCCAUUUUUAGUGUGAUGGUUGGAAAGUUUUUUCGGUGUAGGAUGAGCUCGCGGCCUAUCAGCUUGUUGGUGGGGUAAUGGCCUACCAAGGCGGCGACGGGUAGCCGGCCUGAGAGGGUGGACGGCCACAUUGGGACUGAGGUACGGCCCAGACUCCUACGGGAGGCAGCAGUGGGGAAUAUUGCACAAUGGGCGCCAGCCUGGUGCAGCGGCGCCGCGUGGGGGAUGACGGCCUUCGGGUUGUAAACUCCUUUCGCUAGGGACGAAGCUUUUUGUGACGGUACCUAGAGAAGAAGCACCGGCUAACUACGUG
rnacentral:rRNA from 1 species